UGUGCAUCACUUUGGCAGCAUCAUACACUAAAGUUGGAAUGAUACAGAGAAGUUAGCAUGGCCCAGUGUGAGGGAUGAACAUGCAAAUUCAUGAAGCAUCCCAUAUUUUC
rnacentral:snRNA from 1 species